GGGGAGGUGGCACUGCGUGGGGCAGGGGCGAGGGAAAAGACCUGGAGCCGGCUGCCCACCCCCGAGGAGCGGGGGUGGCUCAAUCCGUCGUGUCUAGGUCGUGCUGGUGAGGCUUGGCGCCUGACAGAACCGUGCUGUGGGCUGUCAGGGCAGUGAGAAGCAGCAGCCUGCCUUAGGGUCGGGGCUGGUUCAUCCCUGGCUAAUAACCUGGGAUAUGCGAGGCGUUUCUAAAGAGCAAAGGGAAAGGGAAGUUGGAGGCGAACUUUUGCAUAUUUCUCUCAUCCGAAAUAACUGAUGUUCCUAGACGGGGGCGGGGAAAGUCUGGAAACAAUCGAGGUGGGGUUUUUGUGUACUGGUUACCAAAGGACGCGGCAUAAGGAAAGGAAGUGUAAAUCCCCUGCGUUCUGUGCUGCAGCUCACACCACUAUUAAAUCAUACAUUCCUUCCUACAAGCAAAUCCCCGAAACAGAUACAGUACAAGUUCACAAAGUUUAAAAAAAUAAGUGACACUAGUUUUGUAAAACUUAAAAAUCUCUUACUGAUCUCAUUCCAGGAGGAAAGAAAGCAACAAAAGGAAACGCUUUUUCAGUGUGAGAAAUGUGUACUCAACCAUCAAAAAAUGAAUAGGUAUGCUGGUGGCAGGAAGAGUCCAUUCUGUUCCUACAGGGAGCGUUUAUUGCGCCGGGUUGUGAGCCAGCUGAAGGGAGCAGCUUCACUCCUUGUAAUCUCUCUGUCGAGCUGGGAGCAAUGUACGGACUCCUGCUGCUAGAGCUUGCACCGGCUGUGUCACCGCUGCAACAGAGGGCUGGUUGCGAGGCGACUGCAUUGCUCCAGUGGGGAGUUGUGCCAGCCCCACUAGCUCGGCGCUCUGCUCUGCCAAAGAGAAGUUUGCCGGCUGCUUGAGUGGCAGUGAGAUGAAACCUGCAGGUAGACGCUGCUGGUUGGAUGGGAAUUCUUUACUCAUAAAAUCUGAAAAAUGUGUUCAGAACUAAGUUUUACUCUUUCCUUCCUCCCCCUGUAAUGCGAGAGAAACGUCUACUAUGUGCUGUUAAAAAAAGUGAAUUUUUCAAAUUAAAUUACGAAGGAUGGAAUAAUUAAUACUAUCUGGACUGUAUUGUGAACCUACUGUAGGGAACCUGCUUUAUUAGAAGGUUGGACUAGAUGGUCUCCAGAGAUCCCUUGCAACUCCUACAGUUCUGUGAUGCAGAUAAUUGUUGCUCGCUCAAUGUAAGGUCUUGCAUAUAUGCAUUUUUCUAAAGGUGUGAAAGCUUUUUUUUCCCCUCCUAUAUGCAUGGGUAAAUGAGUACCCAUUUUAUGGCCAUCUAGUUGCACUGCUGAAGAUAAUCCCAGUGUAGAUGAACUGCAAUGCAAUUCAGCUACGUACUAUGAGAACUGUAUCUUAGAAAUACAGGCUUUUUGUUGUUGUUGUUUUUCCUCUUUCCAUCUUUUCUCUUGCAGUUUAGUCCAGAAUAAAAUUCCUGUUGAUUUUGAGACUUUGCUUUUGAAAAGGCAGGUGGAAAUUGCUGGGAUGCAAUUUUGUUGUGAUACAAUUUGACUUUGCCCCUUCGAGGGCGGUUCCUGCAGUACUUUGCUCUAGUCUUGGUGAAUUCUUCAGCGUGGAGAGGGGCUGAAGGAAACUGCAUUUGCCUAUUUUGCUUGGAGAAAUUAAUCAGAACUGCUGCAAGGAUCACGCUGAGCUGUCCUCACAAGGCUGCUUAAGAAACAAGGAAGCUCUUGAUACUGCUUUCAAGGAAAGGAAGAGCAGCCACACAGAAUGUUGGGAAGGUCAAGGCUUAUGCAUUGUGUGCAGACAAUUCUGAUGUUGGGAGACUGCAAGAUUUGUUGUUUCAACAGUAAGCUGGAGAUCAGUAUAAGGAGUUUGAUAAUCAAGAGACUGGCCUAAAUAUUACUUACGAAAAAAGAAGUACGUGUCUAUGUGCUUUUGCUUCUUGUUGCCUUUCUGAGGCUGGCAGCGCUGUUUCUUUUUGUAAAAGCACUUCUAAGACGGAUAAGCAUUAUAUCUAAAUUCAAAAGCCUGGCUUAAAGAAAUUGGAAACAGGUUUCAGCUUGUUGUAUUGGCAAAGGCACACCACCUGGGAGGAAAAAAGAAAAGCCUGUGAAGAUUACUGGGAAGACUAGCAGGACAUUUGAGGGAGAGAACACUGCACAGUGCUCUGAUGUAGACCUGGUGAAUUAUAUAGCUGCUAUGGAGACAAUAGAUAAACUGUAUAAUUUACAGUUCUCCAUCAGCUUGACAGACUGAGUUUGGAUUUAUCGAGUUGAAAAAAAGGACAAUAAAGCUUCAGUUCAGACUGGGGCUAUUGGCUCCUGCAAUCUUACAGGUACUCAGCUUCUUAACAUUUAAGAGUGUGAGUGAAAAAUGGUAUACUGAGUUGUGGGCUAUGGCUGUGGACUCUGAGUUGGACCUGCAGUCAUUAUAUAGUGCAGACAACAACAAGGAAUCAGAAUGUCACAUUCUCCUUCCAAUAUUAUUAUUAAUAUUCUUUGUGACUCCAGGCAAAUGAUUUUCUGUUUCUCAGCUUCCUCAUUUAUGACACAAUGGCAAUAAUGAUUGCAAAUAAUAUUUACUCAAGCAUACAGGUGAACAUUCUCUAUUGGCUCCUUACUAUUGCCAUCAUGGUGAGCCUAGAAGCCCAGUUUCAAAUGGGGAUUUGUUGGUCACACAAAGCUUGUUGCUAUUUAGUCAUGGAGCUAACUGUGAUAGAGCCAGAGGGAAGGACUGCUGGUGAGUUUGGAUUUCUAGGGAAGUUAGAUAUUUACUGUUCUUUGUAGCUGUAUGAUAAAUACUGAAUGGGAGAUGAUAGGCACACCAUCUUGCACUCUACCAGACAGUCUCCCAGCCAUCCUGUUUGUAUGUUUUGGAGUUGGAUGUUCUGUUUCUCUGUCAAUCUUUUUAAUCAGAGAAUUAUCACACAGGCACCUCCUGGACUUCAUAGAAUCACCGAAUCCUUAUAUAUGGGAGGGACUUCUGAAGGCCAUCUAACCCAGCUCCCCUGCAACAAACAGGGACACCACAGCUAAAUCAGGUUGCCCAGGGCCUGAUCCAGCCUUGCCUUGAAAGUCUCCAGGGACUUGACAUUUAAGCAUUCUUUUAAUAGUAAAAAAAUAAUUGCACACAAAUAUCAUGUAGUGCAAAAAUUUCUUGUUGAUUUCUAAAAUACUGUCUGACAUUUAGCAAUAUUGUAUCAAAAUGCCUAUAUAAAUUAUGAAGGCUGGAUAAGGCUUUGUGCAACCUGGUCUAGUGGGAGGUAUCCCUGCCUAUCACAGAGAGUUGGAACUAUAUGAUCUUACAAGAACCUUCCAUAAACCGUUCUAUGAAUAAUAAAAUUUUCAUCACUUCUAUCCUUUUCAGAAGACUUUUCAGAAAACAUUCUUUUCAGAAGACAUCAAUGAAUCAGAUAUGGUGUAGAUGAGUUUCCAAAUAUAACAUUGGUUGUUGUAGUGCUGCAUAUUGGGAACUUACAGUGCCUCUGCUUUGUGUUCAAUACAAGUUGAGCUUGGUUCUGUGCCUGCUGAGCAAUGCCUGAGCUGGAGAAAUGCUUUGGGAACCAUGGUUGGAAUCUAGGGAUGGGGCUCCAUGUCCACCUGCACCACUCAGAGGCUGAGGUCAUGCAUGUGAAGACAGAUGGCAGCACAAAUGGUUGGGGAAACAUCUUUGAGCAUCCCUAACUGCAUCUGACAGGAACUCCCCUGCAGGUUGGCCCACAUGUAGAAGUUCAAGCCCUUCAGACCCACCUCUGAAACUGACGGGAAUCUCUCUAUAGUGAACGCUUCCUGUAAGGCUGCAGGAGCUGGAGUGAGAAACAUGUGUCCAUAUGCUGGUGGAAGCGUCCACCCUACUGCAGAGCCUUUGGCUGAAGCAGUGUAGAGAUGGGUGUCAUGGGAGUCAUUCCUCUCAGCCUACAGCAGACCAGAUGAACUUACUUCUCCACGUUUUUCACUCCCAGGUAUCCAAAAGGACAUCACCCGGUGUUUUAUUUGCUCAGUCAAUUUGAGCAGAGAUCAAACAUUGAUCUUUCCAAGAAGGUAGAAAACCACGGCUUUGUCAAGUGUGACUAAAUAGGAAGUUACGAUGGCAACAGCUGCUCAGUCUGACCUCUCGUGCACAUGGUGACCCAGAGCCACACAGAACAUAGCAUGCUGGACGUGUCACAAAGAGCCACUCAGGUUGGAUGGAUGCUCAACCUCACCUGGAGCACUGGUUGCAGAAAAAGCACUUAAAAAUAAUGGGUGCUAUUUUGAAAAGACUCUCAAGCACUAUGUGAGGAUUUCCUUUUGAUUAUACAUCUGACUGUCGUGUACCAUUCUGCCUUGGAUUCUAUGGAAAAAAAAAAAUCAAUAAGGAUUCCUGUACAGAAGAUUUUACUCUGAAAGAAGUCUUCACAGAGAUGUCCAUCCCAGUCUUCAAACCAGUCCCACCAAGUAUGGGAUGGAAGCAAGCUCCUUAUAGCCUACGUUAUACCAAUCUAGGCAGCAUCUAAUCAAAGAAUGUAAAGCUCCACAGCUCUCAUCCAUCACAACUGCAGAGGAAAUACCAUCUCCAAAGGAAUCACUGGUGAGCCUGUAUCCCAUCCACACAUGUCCAGGAAUGUAAUAUACUUCACUCAGUGCAUGAUAACAAUUAAAGAAAACAAAAUAACCCUUGGGUCCCAGAAAGAAUUCACAGAAAAUAACACAGAGAAACACCUAUGUGCCCGUCCUUCCAUCUUAAUCCUUCUGUCCUGAUCCUCAGAAGAAAUCUGAAGAUGAGCCUGGGAAGCAUGGGCUCCCCAUACUGCGAUACAGAGACUUAGCAGGGAGAUAUUUCUAACGUUUUAUAAUCUCUCUUCAUCACAGUUAACCUCCCUCCUUUUUACGCCAGAUAAAAUACAAGAGUGAAUAUUAGCAAUCAGAAAUUUAGAUGGCCUUUCAUGAAUGCAUGCUAAAAAGAAUG